UGUCAAAUUCAGAGAAGAAACAUGCUGAGAAGAGGCAUUUCCUAUGCCAGGGCUACCUGUGCCUUGAGGAAUACAUGUAGGAGACACUAUUUGAAAAGGAUCUUGCAGGUGUGAUGAAGGCAAGGAUUUAAGAUGAGAUCAUCCUAAAUGUGGAUGGGUGAGUCCUACACCUGAUGACUGGUGUGCUUCUAAGGGAAACAAAAGGGAAAUGUAACACAGGGACACCUGGAAGGUCAUGUGAAGGUGAAGGCUGACAUUGGAGUUAUGUUGCCACAAGCCAAGGAAUGACAGGGUUGCUAGCAACCACAAGAACUGAGAAGACAGCCAUGGAACGAAUUCUUCCUCAGAGCCUCCAGAAGGAACUCACCCUGCUGACGCUUUGAUUUCAGACUCUGGCCUCCAGAACUGUGAAAGAACAACUGUGUGCUGUUUUAAGCCACCCAGUUUGUGGUAAUGUGUUACAACAAUCCAAGGAAACUAAUAGAAACCCCACGCCUUGGGUCUGAGCAUAGAAGUAAAUUGGAAAUGACUUACAUUGCCUUGA